AUCGGCGUUUAUGUCGGUCAGUGGGUCUGCAUUUUGGUAAAACUGAGAUACGUGCUGAAGAGAGGAGAGAAAUGGAGGAAUCUUUCCAGUCUCUGGUUUCCCCUGCAUUUGAGAUUGAGUUAAUGGAGGAACUUAAACAACAAGAUGACAACAAGCAGGCAAAGGAGAUGCAGAUUAAAGAUGGCAAAAGGAACCUCAAGGAGAAGGUAAAACUUUUGGAAGAGAGC